rnacentral:tRNA from 1 species
GGGGAUUUGGCUGAGCGGAAUAAGCAUCUGCCUGGCAAGCACAGUCUUGAGUUCAAUCCCCA